ensembl:lncRNA
CCGAGAAGGCAAUGGCACCCCACUCCAGUACUCUUGCCUGGAAAAUCCCAUGAAUGGAGGAGCCUGGUAGGCUGCAGUCCAUGGGGUCGCUAAGAGUCGGACACGACUGAGAGACUUCCCUUUCACUUUUCACUUUCAUGCAUUGGAGAAGGAAAUGGCAACCCACUCCAGUGUUCUUGCCUGGAGAAUCCCAGGGAUGGGGGAGCCUGGUGGGCUGCCGUCUAUGGGGUCGCACAGAGUCUGACAUGACUGAAGUGACUUAGCAGCAGCAGCAGAAUACAUGCAACAACAUUUGGUGAAGAUCUUGACUGUUCUUCAUUAAUGGGAUUGGGAAUCUAGUUGGCUGAAUCCUGAUUAUAAUAUCAUGUUAGAGUUGGAACAUGCAGAAUGGAUCUUUUGGUCUAACUUGAACUGUACAAAUGUUAGAGUUACUACCUUAUAGGGCCUCACAUGGUAUUUAGCACAAAGUAGAAGUUCCAUACAUAUUUAAAAUCUUGAAACAAUAAGGACAAUGAGAGUUAGAGCAGUGAUGUUGAGCAAGGUGAUCUAAUUAGUGAGCAGAUCUGACUCCUAAACAUUUGCUUCUACACUGAAUUCUAUCAAAUAUUCUCCUCCCAGGUGACCACGCCAACCCCCACUCCCACCCUCGCCAUGUUGGCUCCCAGGUUAAGCAUGACGUCCUCACCUCGGCAUUCAUCAAGUCUGCCGGGUCCCAGCUCCCUCUUCUCCUUUAUAUUACUUAGAUGUACUUGUACUCUAGUCCACAUGUUCUUUUGAUCUACCCUCAUGGUUCCUAUUUUUUUCUGCCUUUGCUCAAGCUGUUUCCUUCAUAUUGACAAACUUUUCUACCCACCUCUCCUUUUCAGAAUCUCAUCUGCCUUUUAGUGAGAUUAGGGGCGAAUCCACAGAGAUGUUGGAGGACUGGGCGCUACUAUAGUUAAAAGAAGUUGAUAACAAACAGCAAAAUGUCCUGGUGGGUUCCAGAAGAAUGGCAGAAGUAUGUCCUUGGAUACCUUCAGCCAGUUUCACCUACCGUUUGUUGCACCUUGUCCUGGAGCCACAACUCAGAUCUGCCUGGAAGAUGAGCGGCUGAAUGAUAAACAGUCAGAGGGAUGCAGGUUCCUCCAGAUUCAUAGAAGAACAAUAGGAAGGACCAAGGACAAGAAGUACUGUUCCCCUGAAGAGAAAUUCUCUAAUGGCUACAGAUGGGGCUCAAGAACAAGGAGAUGCAAUUGCAACCAGGAUGUCUUGUGGAUAAGAGGUCCAGCCCAAGCUUUGGUCAUAUUGAGUCAAUACUGGGACCUCUUCUUGAUGAGACCAAAAACACAUUUGAUCUAUCUGCUGCUGCUGCUGCUGCUAAGUCGCUUCAGUCGUGUCCGACUCUGUGCGACCCCAUAGACGGCAGCCCACCAGGCUCCCCCACCCCUGGGAUUCUCCAGGCAAGAACACUGGAGUGGGUUGAUCUAUCUACCUUUCUCUUUUUGUCUCUUGUAUGUUAAAAAUUAUAAAGAAAAGUAUUUCUUAAUUGUCUAAAGAUAUAUAUUCCAUGAAGACAAGGAUUGCAUCUCUUUUACAUUCUGUAACCUUCAAACAAUUGUGUAUAGAAAAUGUUGGAGUGCUCAAUUAACAAAUGAAUCAAGGCACUACCAUUUCUUUCCUAAAUGUCACAUAUUUUUACCCAGCUAAAAAUAUUUUUCCAUGGUCUUGGCAUUUUACAUGUGACAUGGCAUCUGCUCUGAAAGUAACAAUAGAAUUAUAACAGACCUCUCAACUGCUAUUUUCAGUAAACUAUUUUGUCAUUGUAAAAUCUUUUGUUAAAUGCUAGAAAAGAUAAUUAUUCUUUUUUUUUCUUAACAUCAUUAUGAAUAAAAGUGCCAUGUACUUACA